CCGCUCCUUCGAUGAGCUUCUGUCUCCCCGGAAAGGGAAGAAGAAAAAACGAAAGUCUGAACGGAGGAGGAAAAGAAGCAGGUCUCCUUCACACAGCCUGCCCCCUCUAAGGAAGAAGAAAAAGAAGAAGAAGAAGAGUUCCAAGAAAAGCAAAGGACACAGGUAGAUCUUUAAAAAAGGAAACGAACAUGAAAAACCUGCUCCAACAUUUAUUUUAUCUGAUCAAAUCUGUUGUUCUUUUUAAUAAAUAUUUCAGGUGUACCUCAAAGAAGUCAAAACACAGGUAAAGGAUUUAUUUUUAUUGGUAAAAAAAACUCUGUUCCUGCGUUUGUUGCUAUCAUGCCUGCAGCACCGACAUCUAGGAAUCAGAGCAGCAGCUUUGUUGGUAUCAAAGCCAGCAGCUCACGGUUCUGUCCUCUUUCAUCCUGCAGCUCUUCAAGUUUAAAGCAUAAGCAUAGGAGGGAUGAACGGAAGCACAAGAAAAGUUCUCGGAUUCGCAAACAUCGGAGACGACGCGAUCGGAGGUUGCGGUCGGAUACUUCCUGCUGCCAUUCCAAAACAGAGGACAGAUAUCCUCUGCAUAAGUCUGUGGUUCAUCAGGCUUUUAGAGACCUAGCAGCUGUUGAAGAGGAAGCCAGAGCAGCCCUGAGCCACACGGACACCAGACCACCAACCAAAUCUGUUUGUACCGCGGCUCCAAAAUAUCGCUCCGUCCUCUCGGCCAGCGCCAUUUUGCCCUCAAAUCCUGGAAAAGUGCUUUUCAACGGAAGCAGAGCUCAAAAUUUGCCAAACUGCAGAGAAGGUCCGCAUGAUUAUGAUUCUGGUAAUGACACAUCUUCACCUCCAUCAAGCAAAACCGGUGUUUCCCAAGGGAGCGCCGCUGAGUAUGCCAGGACCGGACGUGUGGCCUCGGCGUUCAGAGACAGCGCCUCGGAUUCAGGGAACUCUGUGACCAGCUUUGCAUCUUCCUGCAAACCUUUCGGGGAAACCAGCCUGUCUGCAACCCUCUGCAAUCAAAUCAGGAACAGGGAGCAGAUAACCUUGGGGUGUCACGUAGAGGUUGUCGGAUCGUCUGAGUCAACCAGCUGUGAAUCGAGGAGGAGGAGGGGUUCGUCUCGGACAAAAGGUCGCUCUUCCACCAGCAGGAGCAGAUCCUCAGGGAGUUCCAAAUACUUGGGACGCUAUUCCAGAAGCUCCUCGUUGUCUUCUCGCAGCUCGUACUCACGAUCCCCCAGUCACUCAGAUGUCAGGCGAAGAGGCAGCAUGAGCAGCCUGAGCUCCAGAGGAAGCUACUCCAGACACAGUGAUGACAGACUUUCAGACAGAAAGAGACGAGCAGACUCCAGAGAGACAGACGCAAAGCAAGGCCGCAAAGUCAGGAAGCGAGGAAGGCGCAAAUCCUACACUCCCAUGAGGAAGAGGAGGAGGGACUCGCCGAGUCAUCUAGAAGCUCGGCGCAUCACAAGGUGGGUUGAUUUUUUAUUUACGCCGUACACUUUUUAGUUCAGAAAUCACAGUUAGGAUUAUUAUAUUAUAUUUUGGUGUGUGAACUUUUGUUGUGAUUAUUGUUAUUACAAUUAUUUGUGUUAUUUAUUUAUUUUAUGUAAAGCACUUUGACGUGUUUUGCAAAGGAGAAAAAUGUUCUUUAAAGUUGAUUUAGACAAAUACAGUUCAAACUUUUAAUCUGCUUUUAGCCAUAAGGUUUGCAGAAAAAAAAAAUCACAAUGUGAUUUACCUGAAACUUUACCGGAAUCAUAUUUAUGUAGGAAUGCUAAAAUAAAUCAACUAUGUGAGAUUUUACAGAAACAGAAAUCACGAAGAACAUGAACAUUUUCACAGAAAAUUGAUCUAAAGUAAGAGCAGCUCCAAAGCCGAGUCCCACUUGCAGCUGCCUGGGCCUCAAGGAGAAGCAAUUGAUCUAAAAUAUGGGAAAUCUGUGUGAUUUGGUGUCAACAGAGGGGUUCCCAAUACGCUGAUCAAGAUCGAUAGACCGAUUGCGAUUGGGGACCAACAGAUAAGAAUAUAUUUUUAGAAGUUGCCAUUAGCCAAUGAUCAUCCUCGCCAUGAAGUAUGUCGCUUGAUUGACCUGCAGACCACCCAAUCAAACAUUCUCUGACACAUGCCUGUGUGUUUGACGACGCUGAGGGCCAGAUCCCAGUUUUUCUUCCUCCUAAACUUCGGAAAGGUGUGAGCGUUCAGCGUCAGACUCCUAAACGUGGAUGUAGCUGCUAAUGCGCCUUAUUCCGACACUUUAACAGAACCUCCAAGAGAACGCACACAGAACAUUUCUGUUGUCGCCGUUGACAUGACAACCAACACACAGGUGGAAUUCAUCAAGAUAUAAAAGGAAAAAUGACAGAGGACUUUUAAUUGUGUUGUAAUCUAAGAUGCAUCUAAAUGUAUCUCU
rnacentral:lncRNA from 1 species